ensembl:lncRNA
CCUGUGGAAGGGGCAUUCCUAGACCUAAGUGGGGACCUGGGGCAAACCGACGGCCGGUUCCAUCGCCCACCCCCUGCCCUCUGUCUGGGGGAAUCUGGGUUUAAUGAAACUCAAGACGCCUCACUGAGCUGCAAGCUCAGGAGACGGGGCUGGGUCUGUCCUGCACGUGGCUGAACAGCCCCCACCCAGGGCUGUGCGGGAACGGGCUCCCACCAGCUUGGGAGAGCCGCCUGGAAUUUUCAGGAAUCUUGUAAACAGGUUGCCAAACGCGGCUGUUAUUAAACAUUAGAUGAUAAAAACUUAACGUUAAAUGAACUAUAUGGAAAACAAAGGCGGGAAAGACUCAAACCUCACCAUUUCCGAAUUAUUUUCCCACAGUUUAGUCUCGUCUACGCUUUCGAGGCUGUUUACGUUGAUUGUAUCCAUACAGUAGAAAUAGUAUACGACGGCGCGUCACUGCCCGGCCCUUCCCAACUCUGCGUCCAGUGGCAGCUUGAAGGCGGGACUAUUUACGCCACGGAGACCGGUGGAUGCUACAAAUCAGGGCUUCCCUCCCGUCCACCCCCGAGAACCUGUUGUUGAAAAUUCACCAGCUGGGCCCGCCCGGUGGCGCAGCGGUUAAGUGUGCACGUUCCGCUUCGGCAGCCCGGGGUUUGCCGGUUGGGAUCCCGGGUGCAGACAUGGCACUGCUUGGCACGCCAUGCUGUGGCAGGCACCCUACAUAUAAAGUAGAGGAAGGUGGGCAUGGAUGUUAGCUCGGGACCAGUCUUCUUCAGCAAAAAAAAAGAGGAGGAUUGAUAGUAGAUGUUAGCUCAGGGCUAAUCUUCUUCUUCUUCUUCAAAAAAAAGCAAUUAAAUUAACUUUAAAAAAAAGAAAAGAAAAUGCACCAGCUACCACUGCAGUGGUGCUCAUGGGGGCAGCUUUGGGACGUGCGUGUGACUGCCGGGCCUCCCACGGGAGGUCUCUGAAGCAUGUCCUCAGAAACUCUUUUCAGCUGAACCUUGCGUUUUAGUCACCUAUUGCCGUGUAACACACCACCCCAAUGCUCCUGGCUCACAACGACGACAAUUAUUUAUUUGCUUGUGAAUCUGCAAUUUGGGCCGAUCUUGGCAGGGUCAGCUCACCCCCCGCUCCAGGUGGCGUCUGCUGGGGCACCUACUGGGGUUGGAUGCCCUUUUCUGAGAAGCUCACACACACACACACACAUGCACAGCCGGGCCUUCCACGCGGGCCUGUCCUCGGGACCUCUGGGCUUCCUCGCAGCAUGGCGGCUGGGUUCCAAGAGGCAGCACCCAAGAGGCAAAAAGCAGGAGCUGGCAGUUCUGGGAGGACUGGGCCAGACACAGCAUGCCGUCGACUCCGUCACCUUCUGCCAUGGAGGCCAGAGUGGCUAAACCCUCUGUUUCCAUGUCUCGUGUCCUUUGGCACCGCCAUGCCCCCUCCCUGGGCCCUGCAGAGGCUCCCACUGUGCCCGGCUCAGCCAGGCCGCGGGUGACAGCACCAGUGGAAGACGACGGGGAUGGGUUCCCAUGCUGAACACUCGCGUCAACGCCCAUGUCACAGAUGAGAAGACUGAGCUGACCGGGGUCACAGGCAGAAAGGGACAGAGGUGGGAUUGACUAUCGAUCUCCCCUCUUAUAUUCCAUCCACGUCCCCUGUCCCAAGUGACUUCGGGGACCAUGACCCGUUCAGGCCUCCGCCGCCUGCAGCUGGACGCGGCUUGCACAGCAUCCCGCCCGUCCUGCUCGGUGCUUGGAGGCAGCCUCCGGCCGCUGGCGAAUUGAGCUGACGCGUAAUCUGUGCCUUGAGUACGAAGAUGCGGUCGUCGCCAGAAGAGAACCGAAACCAGCCAUGAAUAAUUCCUGUGC